UUUCAGUCUAUCUCGUAUAGGCAACAUCGACAUGGUGCUGGGAUUUCGCCCUCCUGGUGAAUACCAGCAGCUGCUCACGCGGCUCACAGAUCAAACGUCGAUGGCCCGGUGAGGCCGUGAUUCUCUCCUGUAACCGUACUUGAAAGUGUCCACCUCAGUUGCCCCCGGGCUCAGAUAUGACCGGCCUUGUUACGAAAGUGACGAGAACUGCCGCGUUCCGUAGGUGAACCUGCGGAAGGAUCAUUAC
rnacentral:rRNA from 1 species